CCUACGGGAGGCAGCAGUGAGGAAUUUUCCGCAAUGGGCGAAAGCCUGACGGAGCAAUGCCGCGUGGAGGAGGAAGGCCUGUGGGUCGUAAACUCCUUUUCUCAGAGAAGAAGUUCUGACGGUAUCUGAGGAAUAAGCAUCGGCUAACUCUGUGCCAGCAGCCGCGGUAAUACAGGGGAUGCAAGCGUUAUCCGGAAUUAUUGGGCGUAAAGCGUCCUGAGGUGGCUUACCCAGUCGACUGUGAAAGCUCAAGGCUUAACCUUGAAACGGCAGUCGAAACUUGUAAGCUUGAGUACGGUAGGGGCAGAGGGAAUUCCCGGAGGAGAGGUGAAAUUCGUAGAUAUCGGGAGGAAGGCCAAAGGCGAAAGCACUCUGCUGGGCCGAUUACUGACACUGACAGACGAAAGCUAGGGGAGCGAAAGGGAUUAGAUACCCGUGUAGUCCUAGCCGUAAACGAUGGAUACUAAGUGUUGCGCGACUCAAACGUGCAGUGCUGCAGCUAACGCGGUAAGUAUCCCGCCUGGGGAGUAGUGCCCGNAAGGGUGAAACUCAAAGGUAAUUGACGGUUNGAGAGNGCGAGCGACGACGAGGGAGAG
rnacentral:rRNA from 1 species